UUGUAAAUCUAAGCAUUUUGUAAAUCUAAAGUGUUUGGAGAAUUCUUGCCAUUCAAAACUAUUUGCUGAGCCCCGCUCCCUGGUGGCUAUUUGGUGCUAAAGGAGGAAGGAGUCUGGGAGUAAAUGGAUGGGUUGGGUAGGACUCCCAUGUUCUGGGGUCUCCUGGGAUCUAGAGUGAGGAGGGGCUAAGGGUCAGGCAAUCCCGAGAGGUUUCCAGCCCUCUGGACAGUGGUUGGGGCAGGGGCUGCAGCCUCAGUUUGUGUUGAAGCAGCUUCCUCGCCCUUGGUGGUUUAUUACGGCUUCCACAUACAAUAUCUCACUGGAUUCUCAUAAUCACCUAGUGAAAACAGGGGUGGUGGGGAAAGGGCACUUCUCUCUAUUCAGGAGAGAGCUGAGCUCCAGAGAAGAGCAAUGACCUGCUUCAGGUCACACCAGCCACCACGGUCUGAACCCAAGGCUGGUGCUCCUCCCUCCCUACCCCGCACAGUUGCCCACAUGCACUCCCUGGGCCCACUGCAGGGUCUGGGCCCGGAACUACUGCUCCACCUCACUGUGUCCCCAUGAAAUCGGUCAGCUCAAUUCCAUGUGCCCCAGCCUGUUCUUCCACCCUCAGGUUUAUCUGGAAUGCAACCACUUCUCACAUACAUGGCUCCCUCCUGCGUCCCAGCCACAGUGAGUUCCCACCUCAUGUCUGUGUCUGGUUCUUGCAGGUGUCAACGACUGCACACCUGCUCUAUAGUUAUUCUCCUCUCAGCAGCCAGGAUUCGUCUUUUAAAACAACACUCGGCUCGCCGCACUCCUCCAAACCUCCUGAUGGCUCUCCAUUUUACAGACAGGAGGAAGGACAAGGUUUUCUAGGGGUCUACGUGGCCCUACAUAAGCUGCUCCACCCCUUUGGGGAUUCCUGACCUCUCUCAACUCUCUUCUCACUCGCUUUGCUCCAGCCACUCUGGCCUCGCUCUUCCUUGAACAUAUCAAGCUCACUUCCACCUCAGAGGCUUUGCACUGACUGUUCCCUCUGCCAGGAAUGCUUUUCCCUGAUAUACCAACACAACUCCACCCCUCCCCUCUGUUAUAUGGAUGCUCAGACAUCACCUAAUGGCCACUCUAUUUAAAAUCACAAGCUAACACAAGUUCCAGUUUUCCUGAUCCUUUCAUCCUCCUCUACUCAGUUUCUAUCCCCCUACUCAAUUUCUCGCCUUCUAACAUAUCAUACAACUUAUUUGUUAUAUUUAUUUAUUGCCUCUCUCCUCUCCUACUACAAAGUAAGUUCCAAGAGGGCAGGAAAUCUUGUGUUUUAUUUACUGAUUUACUCUCAGGGUGCAAAUUAGUGUCUGACACAUAGUAGGUGCUCAAUUAAUCAUGCAGCAAAUGCUGAGCAAAUGAAUAAAUAUAGUGGUUCACCAGUGCAGAGCUGAUUCUCAGUGUCCAUCUCACCACAGCCCUCAACUGAUCACAAUUCCUUCUGUUUCUCUCUCCCUUCAAGAGAUUGAGACCAGGAGAGACCAUGCAUGAGUGUUUGGGACUGUGCAAAAGAUUUCUCAUGACUUAGAACAUGCUGGAGUCAGAGGAAGCCUUAGCCCCUUGUCCUGUCUGAUGUCAUCAUCUUAAAGAAGAAAAAAUAAAAAAUCAAGCCCAAAGCCACCCAGGCAGCACAGGGCAAAGUUGUAAAAAAAAAUGAAGAGGAAAGAGAAGAUGAAGAAGCAGCAGAGGAGGAAGAUGAAAAGAAGAAUCUGCAAAAGGGACCUCAUGUGGACCACACAGCCUAAAAUACUUACUUACUAAAAUACUUACUACUACUGCUACUAAAAUACUUACUACUUUUCCUUUAUAGAAAAACAUUGUCAAUUCUUUCUCUAGGUUGUGGGCUCCACAAUCUGUCACCUCCAUUCUUGGUUUUGGGAGGUGCUUGGUAAAAGCUGAUAAAGUCACAACUGGCUUUACAUUAGGGGCUAAAAUGAGGCAGAAAAAGGAAUUUUCAAAUGGGCCCAGGUCAAUUUUGAAUGUUUAAUUAUUUGCUUUUCUGGACUUCAUGUCUCCUACCUAACAAAUGGCAACACCACCAUCCACCUUUCAGGGCUGUUGCAAGGAUUAAAUGAGGUAUUGCAUGUGUAUGGCUGGUGAGAGUAGGUGCUCAAUAAAUGGGAGCUUCUUCCCUUUCUUUCUUUAUUUUGGUUUUCCUUUCCGUAAUUGCAAUGAGAGCUAGCUUCUGGGUGGCCUUACAUUCUCUUGUGCCCUCAUCUUCCUUCUUGACACUUCCCCACCUUUGGACUUUUAGGACCAAAAUAACAGUCCAUCUUUCCUUCCCCCUCCCCAAAGACCAUCUCAGCUUCUCUGGUCCCUGCAACCUCCCAACAUGGAAUGACUGGGGACAAAUCUAAUCGUAAAGACCCCUCGGAGCAAGGACCCAUCUCAGGGUAGGAGAUAUUUCAGUUGAACAGGUGUCCCCGUCACCAAUUGCAGCAGCCAUUCAGGUGCUUCUGUGGCCUCCAUGUGAGGGCAGUACCAUGGAGCACCUUCUCAUAUUACCCAGGGCACCGAGCUCCUCUGGAGCCUUUCAGCUGGCCAGAUCUCCAGCAUGGGUCCCUGCCAGGAAGAUGGGCUCCCUGUGGGGACCCUGACUGCUGCCUUAUAUGCCAGAAUGGGGAGAGGGAUAGGUUUGCUGGAUGAAAUCACCACCCAGGCUCUACAAGCCUUUAAAUCUUCUCACAUCUGGCCCCAUCUCCCCCCAUUUCUGUCUGCCAGUCACCAAGUUUUCUGAUUCUGCCUCCUUAACAUCUUCUGACAUCCUCAACUAUUCAACUGAGGGCCCGAAUGUCUGGUUAGACUAAUGUCUUUAGUAUCCGAUCUCUGCUUGACUCGACUUAUCUCUUCUGUAAUGGCCUUCCCUUCUUUUUCUAUCUGGAUUUAAGAGAAAAGAAGAAAACAGUUUUCUAGCGGAAACCUUCCUUUCUUGAAUUCCCAUCUUCUGCCCCUGGUUGGAUGCCCCCUCUCCCUUACUUUCAGUUGAAUACAUAGUUCUAGCAUCA